rnacentral:rRNA from 1 species
ACCCGCGACCACACCCUGUUGGAUAAACCGGUUCCCGUCUUAAUAACAAUGUUGAGCAAAGUUGGGCCUGGUUAAUACUUGCAUGGGUAAUCGGUUGUGAAUACCGCCUGUUACGGGGA